AUGAUGAUGCCGCGUCGGGAGACAGAUAGCUCGCGAGCGUCUGUUCUACCCGGGGCAUCACCUUAUAUCCAUACUCAUCUAAUUGUGCCACAUUGCCAUAAUAAUUGGAGGUGGGGACAAAUAAACGGGACGAGAAUGGUUUCGCCCACGAUCUCGACACCUCGGCUUUUUUCUCGGCGGGCCAAUCGAUGUUUAACUUGGCUACCGCGUGAGUUAUCACCUCCAACAACUCCUCAUACUGUGGUGACUGACAGGGCGAUUCAUCGACGCUCUCCUCAUCCACCUCCUCGGAGGCAGACAGGCGGAGCGCCGCGUCCGCUUCCCGGGGGGAAGUAGCGCCGAAGCACGCUUCCGAUCCCAGAGAGCGAACGCUGGAUCUGGCAGGUGAGGACGAAGAUAGGGACUCGCCCGUCUGCAUUCCCUCUACCAGAUCCAAUUGCGAUCCCCACGAGUGCAGCUGCCGCUCUGCCUCGGCGAAAGCGGGGCCAGCACCGCGAGGAACGCUCGAGAAAGCUCCCUCCUCAAAGAGAGCCCUCCGAGAGCGAAGCGUACGCAGGGGAAGCUGUUCACAGUGCGGACAGUCGGCUCCCUCGAGAGCCGACUCUGCGUGCUCCGCUCCCAAGCAGACCACGCACAAACUGUGUGUAUCCCCGCUCGUGAUGUAGCGAGAGCAGGGAGGAACACACAGCUUGAAACGCGAUCCACUUUCGCCCAAAUGCUUUGUCUUACUAUCAGCCUUUCUUGCCAUGUUUUGCUUGUGCAACUUUCUAAGACAGACAACAGUAAAUAAGACUGACAGACACGUAAUGGUAACUGACACACACAGAGCUUCGCUGAAUGACAGAAAGCUGAUGCUCGUUCCACCUCACGUGCUUUUAUAGCUUCCUGGUCGCUACGUCACCCGCCUAUGACGUCACGCCCAUUCAUGGGACUGAUUACACAUGUUAUUCAGAGCUGGUCACGCUGAAGGGCGUUCCCAUAGCGUUUUUCCGACGCAGCUCGAGUUCCUGAAGGGGAACUUUCUUUCUGUUACUAUUAGGUACUAUUUGAACAUUGCUG
ensembl:lncRNA